rfam:Escherichia coli E24377A, complete genome.
ACAUCAUCCCUGAUGAUUUACUGACGAGAAGCACAAAGGACAAUAACAAAAGCCUCCGUGAAGCGGGAGACUUUUUAAUAAGUU